GGGGCUGUGGCGUAAUUGGUAGCGCGUGGUAUGUUCUAUCAACAGUCUUACAAUCAAUCAAUUUGUUCUAACAAAUUUCCACAGAGACUCCAGAUCUUAAGGUUAUCCGUUCAAGUCGGGUCAGCCUCA